UAUAUAUAUAUGUAAUGUUAAAACAAUUAUAUAUUAAAUAUAAUCCUUAAAUAGAGCAUUUAUCCAACGCGCAAACGUUUAAAAACCUUUCCCACAAGAAAGUAAUAAUAUUGAUCUAAUUAUCUCAAAAAAUGUGAUGAUGUGGCUUUAGCAGCUUGGGAAAUUGAUCAGUCCCACGCUACUGAGACCUAUUAACAUUUAAAUAUAUUGUCCAGAAAGAUAUAAAAACCCUCUUUCCAAGGUCAAAUGUGCUAUUCUAUACCUAUCCACCAGCAUGUAAUGUUGUCAUUCUGGGGCUCUGGCCCUUACGUUAAUAAAAUUAGAUUAUGAUUACCGUA